UACGGAGGGGGCUAGCGUUGUUCGGAAUUACUGGGCGUAAAGGGCGCGUAGGCGGCUCAUGAAGGCUGUGGUGAAAGUCCGGGGCUCAACCUCGGAUCGGCCGUGGCGACUCGUGGGCUGGAGCACUGUAGAGGCGGGUGGAAUUCCGGGUGUAGCGGUGGAAUGCGUAGAGAUCCGGAAGAACACCAGUGGCGAAGGCGACAUACUGGGUCAUGACUGACGCUGAGGCUCGAAAGCGUGGGGAGCAAACAGG
rnacentral:rRNA from 1 species